rnacentral:rRNA from 1 species
CGUAGGUGCAAGCGUUAAUCGGAAUUACUGGGCGUAAAGCGUGCGCAGGCGGUUCGCUAAGACAGAUGUGAAAUCCCCGGGCUUAACCUGGGAACUGCAUUUGUGACUGGCGGGCUAGAGUAUGGCAGAGGGGUAGAAUUCCACGUGUAGCAGUGAAAUGCGUAGAGAUGUGGAGGAAUACCGAUGGCGAAGGCAGCCCCCUGGGCCAAUACUGACGCUCAUGCACGAAAGCGUGGGAGCAAACAGGAUU